UACAGAGGUCCCAAGCGUUGUUCGGAUUCACUGGGCGUAAAGGGUGCGUAGGUGGCCAGGUAAGUUUGGUGUGAAAGCUCGGAGCUCAACUCCGAAAUGGCAUUGAAUACUAUCUGGCUGGAGGGUCGGGAGGGGAGACGUGGAAUUCCGUGGUGUAGCGGUGAAAUGCGCAGAUAUCAGGAGGAACACCGAUGGCGAAGGCAGGUCUCUGGGCCACUGACUGACGCUGAGAAG
rnacentral:rRNA from 1 species